ACGGAGGGUGCGAGCGUUAUUCGGAAUUACUGGGCUUAAAGCGCGCGUAGGCGGUUUUGCAAGUCUGCUGUGAAAUCUCCCGGCUUAACCUGGGUAGUGCCGUUGAUACUGCCGGGCUAGAGUACUGGAGAGGUAGGUGGAAUUUGCGGUGUAGAGGUGAAAUGCGUAGAGAUCGGGAGGAAUACCAGUGGCGAAGGCAGCCCACAAGGCCAUUACUGACGCUGAGGCGCGAAAGUGUGGGGAUCAAACAG
rnacentral:rRNA from 1 species